rnacentral:rRNA from 1 species
CCUACGGGUGGCAGCAGUCGAGAAUCAUUCACAAUGGGGGAAACCCUGAUGGUGCGACGCCGCGUGGGGGAAUGAAGGUCUUCGGAUUGUAAACCCCUGUCAUGUGGGAGCAAAUUAAAAAGAUAGUACCACAAGAGGAAGAGACGGCUAACUCUGUGCCAGCAGCCGCGGUACUACAGAGGUCUCAAGCGUUGUUCGGAAUCACUGGGCGUAAAGCGUUCGUAGGCUGUUUCGUAAGUCGUGUGUGAAAUGCGCGGGCUCAACCCGCGGACGGCACAUGAUACUGCGAGACUAGAGUAAUGGAGGGGGAACCGGAAUUCUCGGUGUAGCAGUGAAAUGCGUAGAUAUCGAGAGGAACACUCGUGGCGAAGGCGGGUUCCUGGACAUUAACUGACGCUGAGGCACGAAGGCCAGGGGAGCGAAAGGGAUUAGAUACCCUAGUAGUC